UUCGGAUUGUAGUCUGCAACUCGACUACAUGAAGCUGGAAUCGCUAGUAAUCGUAGAUCAGCAUGCUACGGUGAAUACGUUCCCGGGUCUUGUACACACCGCCCGUCACACCACGAGAGUUUGUAACACCCGAAGCCGGUGGAGUAACCAUUUGGAGCUAGCCGUCGAAGGUGGGACAAAUGAUUGGGGUGAAGUCGUAACAAGGUAGCCGUAUCGGAAGGUGCGGCUGGAUCACCUCCUUUCUAAGGA
rnacentral:rRNA from 1 species